GAUGAAGAACGUAGCGAAAUGCGAUAAGUAGUGUGAAUUGCAGAAUUCAGUGAAUCAUCGAAUCUUUGAACGCACAUUGCGCCCCUUGGUAUUCCAUGGGGCAUGCCUGUUCGAGCGUCAUUUGUACCUUCAAGCUCUGCUUGGUGUUGGGUGUUUGUCUCGCCUCUGCGUGUAGACUCGCCUCAAAACAAUUGGCAGCCGGCGUAUUGAUUUCGGAGCGCAGUACAUCUCGCGCUUUGCACUCAUAACGACGACGUCCAAAAGUACAUUUUUACACUCUUGACCUCGGAUCAGGUAGGGAUACCCGUUGAACUUAAGCAUAUCAAUAAGCGGAGGA
rnacentral:misc_RNA from 1 species